UGGGGAGUCAGCUCCAUGGUAGAGUGCUUGCCUAGCAUGCAUGAGGCCCUGGGUUUGAUCCCCAGCACUACAG
rfam:Ictidomys tridecemlineatus contig034746, whole genome shotgun sequence.